rnacentral:ncRNA from 1 species
UUAACACUGAGGCGUGAUGACGAGUCACUACGGUGAUGAAGUGACCGAUGCCAAGCUUCCAGGAAAAGCCUCUAAGCUCCAGGUAACACGAAAUCGUACCCCAAACCGACACAGGUGGUCAGGUAGAGAAUACCAAGGCGCUUGAGAGAACUCGGGUGAAGGAACUAGGCAAAAUGGUGCCGUAACUUCGGGAGAAGGCACGCUGGCGUUGGUGAAGGGACUUGCUCCCGGAGCUGAUACCAGUCGCAGAUACCAGCUGGCUGCAACUGUUUAAUAAAAACACAGCACUGUGCAAACACGAAAGUGGACGUAUACGGUGUGACGCCUGCCCGGUGCCGGAAGGUUAAUUGAUGGGGUCAGCCGCAAGGCGAAGCUCUUGAUCGAAGCCCCGGUAAACGGCGGCCGUAACUAUAACGGUCCUAAGGUAGCGAAAUUCCUUGUCGGGUAAGUUCCGACCUGCACGAAUGGCGUAAUGAUGGCCAGGCUGUCUCCACCCGAGACUCAGUGAAAUUGAACUCGCUGUGAAGAUGCAGUGUACCCGCGGCAAGACGGAAAGACCCCGUGAACCUUUACUAUAGCUUGACACUGAACCUUGAGCCUUGAUGUGUAGGAUAGGUGGGAGGCUUUGAAGUGUGGACGCCAGUCUGCAUGGAGCCAACCUUGAAAUACCACCCUUUAAUGUUUGAUGUUCUAACGUGGGCCCCUGACCGGGGUUGCGGACAGUGUCUGGUGGGUAGUUUGACUGGGGCGGUCUCCUCCCAAAGAGUAACGGAGGAGCACGAAGGUUAGCUAAUCCUGGUCGGACAUCAGGAGGUUAGUGCAAAGGCAUAAGCUAGCUUGACUGCGAGAGUGACGGCUCGAGCAGGUGCGAAAGCAGGUCUUAGUGAUCCGGUGGUUCUGAAUGGAAGGGCCAUCGCUCAACGGAUAAAAGGUACUCCGGGGAUAACAGGCUGAUACCGCCCAAGAGUUCAUAUCGACGGCGGUGUUUGGCACCUCGAUGUCGGCUCAUCACAUCCUGGGGCUGAAGUAGGUCCCAAGGGUACGGCUGUUCGCCGUUUAAAGUGGUACGCGAGCUGGGUUUAGAACGUCGUGAGACAGUUCGGUCCCUAUCUGCCGUGGGCGUUGGAAGAUUGAGGGGGGUUGCUCCUAGUACGAGAGGACCGGAGUGAACGCACCACUGGUGUUCGGGUUGUCAUGCCAAUGGCAUUGCCCGGUAGCUAAGUGCGGAAGAGAUAACCGCUGAAAGCAUCUAAGCGGGAAACUUGCCCC